rnacentral:lncRNA from 1 species
UUUAACUAAACCACGUGUCUUGAAUUAAAAAUAAAUAAUAACGGGUUUCAUCUUCAUCCAAUACGUACAUGAGAAGAAAUUAGCCUUGCAUAAUGUUGGAAUUAAACAAAGAAAGUUUAAACGACAUCACCAAGAAAUUGACAGCAAGUGAUUAAUUCCUCAAUUUAUUCUCGGAUUCAAUUCCAGCUGCCUUUUCUAUGCGUGUCAUUUUUAGAAUCCAGUUGGCAGCCCUCUCUUCUCCAAAUAAGCACAAAAGUCAUCCAAUGUUUGUGUGUUUAUCUCUAUACAGUUUCCCAAGACAGCUUGUGUUUGUAUGUCUUCCUCCCAAUUCCAGCUGCUUUUGUUGACUAUAUUUUUCUCCCAAGCUGCUGCUGCCCUUUUUCCUCUUAUCAAAUCUGUCCUUGUGCUGUGUAUAUAUAGCAGCCCCCAAUGUUUGAUUCCACAAAGAAUUAUAUUUCUCUUCUCCCUAGCCGGCAGUUGUGUAUCUCUUCCCCUCUUACUCUCCUUGCUUCCGAAUUGUAUAUCUCCUAUUAAAAUCCUAGGCAGCCUCCUCUCAUGCACGUGUAUUAAUUAUUUAUAUUUAUACAGCCGACCGGUGGCCCUUUUGCGUGAGUAGGAGCCCACAACAAUUCCAAACAAUUAUAUAAUGGACUACUUACAAAAAUACCCUUAAAAUUAAAAUUAGAAGUCUUUUGAAAAAUAAUAUGAAAAAAAAAAAUUGGAAGUAAAAAAUACUGCCUAAAGUUAAAAAAGUGACACAAUGUCACUUUUUUUUAUAAAAAUUGUCAUUUUUCUUUUAAAAAAAAAGUGACACAAUAUCAC